rnacentral:misc_RNA from 1 species
CACGAUUUGUGACAUAUCCAUGGAUGGAAGUAGAGAGCUUGUCCAAGGGGUUUCUCAAGAGCUUCUUGAGACUGCACUUCCCAGACGUGGGGGGCCUGUUCUUGUUCUUUAUGGUAAGCACAAGGGAGUUUAUGGGAGUUUAGUCGAGAGGGAUCUUGACAAAGAGACAGGGGUAGUACGGGAUGCAGAUAGCCAUGAAUUACUUAAUGUGCGUUUAGAACAGAUUGCUGAAUACAUUGGUG